rnacentral:rRNA from 1 species
AGUUUGAUUCUGGCUCAGGACGAACGCUGGCGGCGUGCUUCAUACAUGCAAGUCGAACGAGAAACUAACUUCGGUUAGUGGAAAGUGGCGGACGGGUGAGUAAUGUGUAGAGAAUCUGCCCUAGAGUGGGGGACAACAGUUGGAAACGACUGCUAAUACCGCAUAUGCGCGUAGCUGAGAUGCUAUUCGUGAAAACUCCGGUGCUCUGGGAUGAGUCUGCAUCUGAUUAGCUAGUUGGGGGUGUAAUGGACCACCAAGGCGACGAUCAGUAGCUGGUUUGAGAGGAUGAUCAGCCACAAUGGGACUGAGACACGGCCCAUACUCCUACGGGAGGCAGCAGUAGGGAAUUUUGCGCAAUGGGGGAAACCCUGACGCAAGCAACGCCGCGUGAUUGAAUAAGCCCUUCGGGGUGUAAAGAUCUGUCAGUGGGGACGAAACUUGACGGUACCCACAGAGGAAGCAUCGGCUAACUCCGUGCCAGCAGCAGC